GUGGGGAAUAUUGUACAAUGGGGGCAACCCUGAUCCAGCCAUGCCGCGUGAAUGAUGAAGGCCUUCGGGUUGUAAAGUUCUUUUGGAGGGGACGAUGAUGACGGUACCCUCAGAAUAAGCUCCGGCUAACUUCGUGCCAGCAGCCGCGGUAAUACGAAGGGAGCUAGCGUUGUUCGGAAUUACUGGGCGUAAAGGGCGCGUAGGCGGUUUGGUUAGUCAGAGGUGAAAGCCCAGGGCUUAACCCUGGAACUGCGUUUGAUACUGCCAAGCUUGAAUUCGGGAGAGGUGAGUGGAAUUCCCAGUGUAGAGGUGAAAUUCGUAGAUAUUGGGAAGAACACCGGUGGCGAAGGCGGCUCACUGGACCGACAUUGACGCUGAGGCGCGAAAGCGUGGGGAGCAAACAGGAUUAGAAACCCCGGUAGUCC
rnacentral:rRNA from 1 species